CCCCGGGGCUUAACCCCGGGGUCUGCAGUCGAUACGGGCAGGCUAGAGUUCGGUAGGGGAGAUCGGAAUUCCUGGUGUAGCGGUGAAAUGCGCAGAUAUCAGGAGGAACACCGGUGGCGAAGGCGGAUCUCUGGGCCGAUACUGACGCUGAGGAGCGAAAGCGUGGGGAGCGAACAGGAUUAGAUACCCUGGUAGUCCACGCCGUAAACGGUGGACACUAGGUGUGGGCGACAUUCCACGUCGUCCGUGCCGCAGCUAACGCAUUAAGUGCCCCGCCUGGGGAGUACGGCCGCAAGGCUAAACUCAAAGGAAUUGACGGGGGCCCGCACAAGCGGCGGAGCAUGUGGCUUAAUUCGACGCAACGCGAAGAACCUUACCAAGGCUUGACGUACACCGGAAACGUCUGGAGACAGGCGCCCCCUUGUGGUCGGUGUACAGGUGGUGCAUGGCUGUCGUCAGCUCGUGUCGUGAGAUGUUGGGUUAAGUCCCGCAACGAGCGCAACCCUUGUCCCGUGUUGCCAGCAGGCCCUUGUGGUGCUGGGGACUCACGGGAGACCGCCGGGGUCAACUCGGAGGAAGGUGGGGACGACGUCAAGUCAUCAUGCCCCUUAUGUCUUGGGCUGCACACGUGCUACAAUGGCCGGUACAAUGAGCUGCGAUACCGUGAGGUGGAGCGAAUCUCAAAAAGCCGGUCUCAGUUCGGAUUGGGGUCUGCAACUCGACCCCAUGAAGUCGGAGUCGCUAGUAAUCGCAGAUCAG
rnacentral:rRNA from 1 species